AUGUGGACUCUGAUUGUAGGCAGCCAACCUGGGCUUCUCUCCAGUCAGGGGCAUAUGGUGAGGUCACAAUGGCUGAAGGGGAUGAGACAGAAGACGAUUGAUUUCAGAGCCAGAGAGAGUAAUCCUAUCAAAUGCAGGUGCACAGAAAUUAGGAGAUCAGAACAGCUCCUUGCAUUUCUUGCUACAUUUCCAGUAUUUUCCCAUUCCCUUGCUCAGUGCCUUGUCAGCACACCUAGAAUUGAGGGUGUGAUAAGAGAGGAGCAGAAAAGAACUGCGCAGCAAUGUUCUCCCAGCAGCUUGACGUCAUUCUGCAUUGGUUGGAGUGAGAUUGGACAGAGCGUGGCUGAAGCUGACAGGAAAGAGAUUAUGCAGGAGUAUGAAGUUAAACAAACAAGAGAAGAUGAAGGAGGAAAAGAAGAAGAUGGAGGAGGACAAAGUUUUCAGAAGUGCUUAUUAGAGCUAUUACAUGCCAAAUAUCUACUCUGUGGGAAAAGAAAAUUUCACAUUUUUAUCAACUCUGUAUUCACACAUCUGAUCAAGGUAACAUCUUAAAAUGGGUAGAUGAAAUAAUGAGAUGAAAAAAACAAAAAGAGAACCCAAAGAUAAGUUGAUAUAAAUGUCAAUGUAAUUCAUCUGAAAAACUCAUUCAUGUUGAGACUCUAAUUCAGCAAGAAGUGUUAACUUUAGUUGAAAGUAAAUUAAUCAAGUCUAGUAUCAUAGAUUAGUAAGUCAAGGCCCACCCAAGGUCAUAUAGUUAAUAUGUGACAGAAUUGCGAUUUUAUUAUACAGUACUAGAAUUAGAAAUCAGUUAGAGUCCCCUGAUGAAGAUUGAGUCUUUGUAAGCAUCUUCCAGUUUGGUAUAGAAAUGGGUUAAACAUUAAAUGUUGAUUGAGAAAAAUACCUAGACACCCCAGAAAUACUACUUAAACUUCAAGGAAGAUGAGUGUUGAUUUAUCCCACAAUCUCUA
ensembl:lincRNA